CACUGGGAAAGGCUCCUGUAGGCUGUUUUAUGAGUUUAUAAUUAUCCUCUAAAUCUCCAUCUCUUGAUACAUACAUACUGCUUUCAUUCUGGGAUAUAAAAACAAGAAACAACACGUUCACUUACAUUGCUGUUCACUUUAGCUCUGAUUCCUGUUUUUUUAAAUUAAAAAUCCACUUCUAAUCAUUCCCUUUCUGCGACAGACUUACUUCUGCGCCCCAGUAGGAGCGAUAUCAUAGUACCACGUACACGGUAUUAAGGCCACCGUUCCCUGUACAAUCAGGGUUUUAUUUCCUGAAAGCCUGGAAAGGAAGAAGAUCAGAAUACAACCUAUUGGCCUGUUAGAGUGCCCCGUGUCUCCCAGAGGACAUAUAAAGAACCAAUAAUGAACAUGACUUUGUGUGAAGGUCAGACACUCACCUUUACAGUGUGUCUGGUUAUUUACAUCACGG